UACGUAGGGUCCGAGCGUUGUCCGGAAUUAUUGGGCGUAAAGGGCUCGUAGACGGUCUGUCGCGUCGGGAGUGAAAACUUACAGCUUAACUGUGAGCGUGCUUCCGAUACGGGCAGACUUGAGGUAUUCAGGGGAGAACGGAAUUCCUGGUGUAGCGGUGAAAUGCGCAGAUAUCAGGAGGAACACCGGUGGCGAAGGCGGUUCUCUGGGAAUAUCCUGACGCUGAGGAGCGAAAGUGUGGGGAGCGAACAGG
rnacentral:rRNA from 1 species